UACGUAGGGGGCUAGCGUUGUCCGGAAUCAUUGGGCGUAAAGCGCGUGUAGGCGGUCCGGUAAGUCCGCUGUGAAAGUCGGGGGCUCAACCCUCGAAUGCCGGUGGAUACUGUCGGGCUAGAGUGCGGAAGAGGCGAGUGGAAUUCCUGGUGUAGCGGUGAAAUGCGCAGAUAUCAGGAGGAACACCUAUUGCGAAGGCAGCUCGCUGGGACGUAACUAACGCUGAGACGCGAAAGCGUGGGGAGCAAACAGG
rnacentral:rRNA from 1 species